rnacentral:rRNA from 2 species
UACGUAGGGGGCAAGCGUUAUCCGGAAUAACUGGGCGUAAAGGGUGCGCAGGUGGUUUAACAAGUUAGUGGUGAAAGGCAUAGGCUCAACCAAUGUAAGCCAUUAAAACUGUUUAACUUGAGUGCAGGAGAGGAAAGUGGAAUUCCUAGUGUAGCGGUGAAAUGCGUAGAUAUUAGGAGGAAUACCAGUGGCGAAGGCGACUUUCUGGACUGUAACUGACACUGAGGCACGAAAGCGUGGGGAGCAAACAGG